rnacentral:rRNA from 1 species
GAUGAACGCUGGCGGCGUGCCUAAUACAUGCAAGUCGAGCGAACGGACGAGAAGCUUGCUUCUCUGAUGUUAGCGGCGGACGGGUGAGUAACACGUGUAUAACCUACCUAUAAGACUGGGAUAACUUCGGGAAACCGGAUCUAAUACCGGAUAAUAUUUUGAACCGCAUGGUUCAAAAGUGAAAGACGGUCUUGCUGUCACUUAUAGAUGGAUCCGCGCUGCAUUAGCUAGUUGGCAAGGUAACGGCUUACCAAGGCAACGAUGCAUAGCCGACCUGAGAGGGUGAUCGGCCACACUGGAACUGGGACACGGUCCAGACUCCUACGGGAGGCAGCAGUAGGGAAUCUUCCGCAAUGGGCGAAAGCCUGACGGAGCAACGCCGCGUGAGUGAUGAAGGUCUUCGGAUCGUAAAACUCUGUUAUUAGGGAAGAACAUAUGUGUAAGUAACUGUGCACAUCUUGACGGUACCUAAUCAGAAAGCCACGGCUAACUACGUG